rnacentral:rRNA from 1 species
GAUGAACGCUGGCGGCGUGCCUAAUACAUGCAAGUCGAGCGAACAGACGAGGAGCUUGCUCCUCUGACGUUAGCGGCGGACGGGUGAGUAACACGUGGAUAACCUACCUAUAAGACUGGGAUAACUUCGGGAAACCGGAGCUAAUACCGGAUAAUAUAUUGAACCGCAUGGUUCAAUAGUGAAAGACGGUUUUGCUGUCACUUAUAGAUGGAUCCGCGCCGCAUUAGCUAGUUGGUAAGGUAACGGCUUACCAAGGCGACGAUGCGUAGCCGACCUGAGAGGGUGAUCGGCAACACUGGAACUGAGACACGGUCCAGACUCCUACGGGAGGCAGCAGUAGGGAAUCUUCCGCAAUGGGCGAAAGCCUGACGGAGCAACGCCGCGUGAGUGAUGAAGGUCUUCGGAUCGUAAAACUCUGUUAUUAGGGAAGAACAAAUGUGUAAGUAAAUAUGCACGUCUUGACGGUACCUAAUCAGAAAGCCACGGCUAACUACGUG